CGUCGCCGCUGUCCCCUCAGUGCCCCCCCAGUGUGACGAUGUCGCCUCCGGUGCCCGCGCUGAGCCCCGAGCAGAAGAAGGAGCUGGCGGCCAUCGCCCAGCGCAUCGUGGCGCCCGGCAAGGGCAUCCUGGCCGCCGAUGAGUCCACUGGCAGCAUCGCCAAGCGCCUGAGCUCGGUGGGCGCCGAGAACACGGAGGAGAACCGGCGCUGGUACCGGCAGCUGCUGUUCACGGCCGACAAGCGCGUGGAGCCGUGCAUCGGCGGCGUCAUCCUGUUCCACGAGACCAUGUACCAGAAGGCCGACGACGGGCGCCCCUUCCCGCAGGUCAUCAAGGACAAGGGGGCGCUGGUGGGCAUCAAGGUGGACAAGGGCGUGGUGCCCCUGGCUGGCACCAACGGCGAGACCACGACCCAGGGUCUCGACGGCCUCAUGGAGCGCUGUGCCCAGUACAAGAAGGACGGCGCCGACUUUGCCAAGUGGCGCUGCGUGCUCAAGAUCACGGCGCACACGCCCACGCGCCUCGCCGUCAUGGAGAACGCCAACGUGCUGGCGCGCUACGCCAGCAUCUGCCAGCAGAACGGCAUUGUCCCCAUCGUGGAGCCCGAGAUCCUCCCGGACGGUGACCACGACCUCAAGACGUGCCAGUACGUCACCGAGAAGGUGCUGGCAGCCGUGUACAAGGCGCUCAGUGACCACCACGUGUACCUCGAGGGGACGCUGCUGAAGCCCAACAUGGUGACAGCGGGACACGCCUGUGCCACCAAGUACAGCCCCGAGGAGAUCGCCAUGGCAACGGUCACCGCGCUGCGACGCACCGUGCCACCCGCCGUGCCGGGGAUCACGUUCCUGUCGGGUGGCCAGAGUGAAGAAGAGGCCUCCAUCAACCUCAACGCCAUCAACCGCUGUCCGCUGCCGCGUCCCUGGGCGCUGACCUUCUCGUACGGCCGCGCCCUGCAGGCCUCGGCCCUCAAGGCCUGGGGCGGCAAGAAGGACAACACCAAGGCGGCCCAGGAGGAGUACGUCAAGAGAGCCCUGGCCAACUCCCUGGCGUGCCAGGGUAAGUACACCCCCAGCGGCACCGCGGGGGCGGCGGCCAGCGAGUCCCUGUUCGUGUCCAACCACGCCUACUGAGAGGUGGACAUCUCUGACCAUCCAUGGACACCCCUGACCAUCCAUGGACACCCCUGACCUUCUGCUGACCAUCCAUGGACCUCCUCUGGACACCCCAUCCAUCCACACCCACUGCCCAGCGAGUCCCUGUUCGUGUCCAACCACGCCCACUGAGAGAUGGACAUCCCUGACCACCCAUGGACAUCCCUGACCACCCAUGGACAUCCCUGACUACCCAUGGACAUCCCUGACUACCCAUGGACAUCACUGACCACCCAUGGACAUCCCUGACCAUCCAUGGACACCACUGACCACCCAUGGACAUCCCUGACCACCCAUGGACAUCCCUGACCACCCAUGGACAUCCCUGACUACCCAUGGACAUCCCUGACUACCCAUGGACAUCACUGACCACCCAUGGACAUCACUGACCACCCAUGGACAUCCCUGACCAUCCAUGGACAUCACUGACCACCCAUGGACACCUGCUGGACAUCACUGACCAUCCAUGGACACCCAUGGACACCCCAAACAAGCACACCCACUGACCGCCCGUGGACAUCGCUGACCACCAUGGACACCCAUGGACAUCACUGACCACCCAUGGACACCUGCUGGACCUCACUGACCACCCAGAGACAUCCCUGACCAUCCAUGGACACCACUGACCACCACGGACACCUGCUGGAUACCCACCGACCACCUGCUGGACAUCACGGACAUCUGCUGGACACCCCAUCCAACCACUCCUCCUGACCACCCAUGGACAUCACUGACCAUCCAUGGACACCUGCUGGACCCUGCUGACCACCCUCUGGCCACCUGCUGAUCGUCCAUGGACCUCCUGCUGACCAUCUGCUGACCACCCUCUGGCCACUGACCUGCUGCUGACCAUCCAUGGACCUCCUGCUGACCAUCCAUGGACCUCCUGCUGACCAUCCACUGACCGCUGACCAUCCAUGGACCUCCUGAUGACCAUCCACUGACCAGCUGCUGACCAUCCAUGGACCUCCUGAUGACCAUCUGCUGACCUCCUGCUGACCACUGACCACCCUGUGGCCACUGUGGUCACUCAUUUGUCACCCUGUGGUCACUCUGUGGUCAUUCAUUGGUCACUCUGUGGUCACUCAUUGGUCACUCAGUAGUCACUGUGGUCACCCUGUGGUCACUCUGUGGUCACUCAGUGGUCACUCAGUGGUCACUCUGUGGUCACUCAUUGGUCACCCUGUGGUCACUCAUUGGUCACUCAUGGUCACCCUGUGGUCACUCAUUGGUCACUCUGUGGUCACUCAUUGGUCACUCAGUAGUCACUGUGGUCACCCUGUGGUCACUCUGUGGUCACUCAGUGGUCACUCUGUGGUCACUCUGUGGUCACUCAUUGGUCACCCUGUGGUCACUCAUUGGUCACUCAUUGGUCACUCUGUGGUCACUCUGUGGUCACUCUGUGGUCACUCAUUGGUCACUCAGUGGUCACUCUGUGGUCACUCGUGGUCACUCAGUGGUCACUCAUUGGUCACUCUGUGGCCACUCUGUGGUCACUUGUGGUCACUCAGUGGUCACUCAGUGGUCACUCAUUGGUCACUCUCUGUCCCUCGCUGUCUCCCCCAGAGCAAUAAAAGGUCUCAGAUGAACCCAAAA